rnacentral:rRNA from 1 species
GUGAGUAGUUCAGAGUUUGAUCCUGGCUCAGGAUGAACGCUAGCGACAGGCUUAACACAUGCAAGUCGAGGGGCAACAUGAUUUUAGCUUGCUAAAAUUGAUGGCGACCGGCGCACGGGUGAGUAACGCGUAUGUAACUUGCCUACCAGAGGGGGAUAGCCCGGCGAAAGUCGGAUUAAUACCGCAUAAAACAGGGGUUCCGCAUGGAAAUAUUUGUUAAAGGAUUACCGCUGGUAGAUAGGCAUGCGUUCCAUUAGAUAGUUGGUGAGGUAACGGCUCACCAAGUCGACGAUGGAUAGGGGUUCUGAGAGGAAGGUCCCCCACAUUGGUACUGAGACACGGACCAA